AUUGAACGCUGGCGGCAGGCCUAACACAUGCAAGUCGAGCGGAUGAAGGGAGCUUGCUCCUGGAUUCAGCGGCGGACGGGUGAGUAAUGCCUAGGAAUCUGCCUGGUAGUGGGGGAUAACGUCCGGAAACGGGCGCUAAUACCGCAUACGUCCUGAGGGAGAAAGUGGGGGAUCUUCGGACCUCACGCUAUCAGAUGAGCCUAGGUCGGAUUAGCUAGUUGGUGGGGUAAAGGCCUACCAAGGCGACGAUCCGUAACUGGUCUGAGAGGAUGAUCAGUCAACAUGGAAAUGAGAAACGGUCCAGACUCCUACGGGAGGCAGCGGUGGGGAAUAUUGGACAAGGGGCGAAAGCCUGAUCCAGCCAUGCCGGGGGGGUGAAGAAGGUUUUCGGAUUGUAAAGCACUUUAAGUUGGGAGGAAGGGAAGUAAGUUAAAACCUUGCUGUUUUGACGUUACCAACAGAAUAAGCACCGGCUAACUUCGU
rnacentral:rRNA from 1 species